rnacentral:rRNA from 1 species
GACGAACGCGGGCGGCGUGCCUAAUACAUGCAAGUUGAGCGCUGAAGGUUGGUACUUGUACCAACUGGAUGAGCAGCGAACGGGUGAGUAACGCGUGGGGAAUCUGCCUUUGAGCGGGGGACAACAUUUGGAAACGAAUGCUAAUACCGCAUAAAAACUUUAAACACAAGUUUUAAGUUUGAAAGAUGCAAUUGCAUCACUCAAAGAUGAUCCCGCGUUGUAUUAGCUAGUUGGUGAGGUAAAGGCUCACCAAGGCGAUGAUACAUAGCCGACCUGAGAGGGUGAUCGGCCACAUUGGGACUGAGACACGGCCCAAACUCCUACGGGAGGCAGCAGUAGGGAAUCUUCGGCAAUGGACGAAAGUCUGACCGAGCAACGCCGCGUGAGUGAAGAAGGUUUUCGGAUCGUAAAACUCUGUUGGUAGAGAAGAACGUUGGUGAGAGUGGAAAGCUCAUCAAGUGACGGUAACUACCCAGAAAGGGACGGCUAACUACGUGCCAGCAGCCGCGGUAAUACGUAGGUCCCGAGCGUUGUCCGGAUUUAUUGGGCGUAAAGCGAGCGCAGGUGGUUUAUUAAGUCUGGUGUAAAAGGCAGUGGCUCAACCAUUGUAUGCAUUGGAAACUGGUAGACUUGAGUGCAGGAGAGGAGAGUGGAAUUCCAUGUGUAGCGGUGAAAUGCGUAGAUAUAUGGAGGAACACCGGUGGCGAAAGCGGCUCUCUGGCCUGUAACUGACACUGAGGCUCGAAAGCGUGGGGAGCAAACAGG